GUUGUCGUGGCCGAGUGGUUAAGGCGAUGGACUAGCAAUCCAUUGGGGUUUCCCUGCGCAGGUUUAGAAUCCUGCCGACAACG